GACGAACGCUGGCGGCGUGCCUAAUACAUGCAAGUUGAGCGCUGAAGGUUGGUACUUGUACCAACUGGAUGAGCAGCGAACGGGUGAGUAACGCGUGGGGAAUCUGCCUUUGAGCGGGGGACAACAUUUGGAAACGAAUGCUAAUACCGCAUAAAAACUUUAAACGCAAGUUUUAAGUUUGAAAGAUGCAAUUGCAUCACUCAAAGAUGAUCCCGCGUUGUAUUAGCUAGUUGGUGAGGUAAAGGCUCACCAAGGCGAUGAUACAUAGCCGACCUGAGAGGGUGAUCGGCCACAUUGGGACUGAGACACGGCCCAAACUCCUACGGGAGGCAGCAGUAGGGAAUCUUCGGCAAUGGACGAAAGUCUGACCGAGCAACGCCGCGUGAGUGAAGAAGGUUUUCGGAUCGUAAAACUCUGUUGGUAGAGAAGAACGUUGGUGAGAGUGGAAAGCUCAUCAAGUGACGGUAACUACCCAGAAAGGGACGGCUAACUACGUG
rnacentral:rRNA from 1 species